GCCUAAUACAUGCAAGUCGAACGGACCAUUUCGGUGGUAAGUGGCGAACGGGUGAGUAACACGUAGGUAACAUAUCCAUACGACGAGGAUAACGGCUGGAAACGGCUGCUAAGACUGGAUAGGAAUAUAGGAGGCAUCUUUAAUAUUUUAAAGGACCUUAGGGUACGCGUAUGGAGUGGCCUGCGGCGCAUUAGCUAGUUGGAGUGGUAAAGGCACCCCAAGGCAAUGAUGCGUAGCCGGACUGAGAGGUUGACCGGCCACAUUGGGACUGAGACACGGCCCACACUCCUACGGGAGGCAGCAGUGGGGAAUAUUGCACAAUGGGGGAAACCCUGAUGCAGCAACGCCGCGUGAGUGAUGACGGCCUUCGGGUUGUAAAGCUCUGUCUUCAGGGACGAUAAUGACGGUACCUGAGGAGGAAGCCACGGCUAACUACGUGCCAGCAGCCGCGGUAAUACGUAGGUGGCGAGCGUUGUCCGGAUUUACUGGGCGUAAAGGGAGCGUAGGCGGAUUUUUAAGUGAGAUGUGAAAUACUCGGGCUUAACCUGAGUGCUGCAUUUCAAACUGGAAGUCUAGAGUGCAGGAGAGGAGAAGGGAAUUCCUAGUGUAGCGGUGAAAUGCGUAGAGAUUAGGAAGAACACCAGUGGCGAAGGCGCUUCUCUGGACUGUAACUGACGCUGAGGCUCGAAAGCGUGGGGAGCAAACAAGAUUAGAUACCCUGGUAGUCCUCGCCGUAAACGAUGAAUACUAGGUGUAGGGGUUGUCAUGACCUCUGUGCCGCCGCUAACGCAUAAAGUAUUCCGCCUGGGGAGUACGGUCGCAAGAUUAAAACUCAAAGGAAUUGACGGGGGCCCGCACAAGCAGCGGAGCAUGUGGUUUAAUUCGAAGCAACGCGAAGAACCUUACCUAGACCUGACAUCUCCUGCAUUACUCUUAAUCGAGGAAGUCUCUUCGGAGACAGGAUGACAGGUGGUGCAUGGUUGUCGUCAGCUCGUGUCGUGAGAUGUUGGGUUAAGUCCCGCAACGAGCGCAACCCUUAUUGUUAGUUGCCAUCAUUAAGUUGGGCACUCUAGCGAGACUGCCCGGGUUAACCGGGAGGAAGGUGGGGAUGACGUCAAAUCAUCAUGCCCCUUAUGUCUAGGGCUACACACGUGCUACAAUGGUCGGUACAAUAAGACGCAAGCCCGCGAGGGGGAGCAAAACUGGAAAACCGAUCUCAGUUCGGAUUGUAGGCUGAAACUCGCCUACAUGAAGCUGGAGUUGCUAGUAAUCGCGAAUCAGCAUGUCGCGGUGAAUACGUUCCCGGGCCUUGCACACACCGCCCGUCA
rnacentral:rRNA from 1 species